UCGUAGAGAAGGCAAACCGCUACUCCACACGAUCCCCUCCUAAAUUCGUUCUGCCACGCCCACAACCCAGUCUAAACUGCUCCUUCAGGUUCGUCCGCUAGCACACCCCUCCAAGGCUCCCACCAACACGAGGGCCGAGGGUUGCGACGGGGCGCGGGAGACCACGGGGAGCAGGGCCUUUGGCUCUGGGGGAAGGAUACCACAUGAAGCGAGAAUUGAUUGUGGUGCUGGCGGUCUUCCGAUUAUGGCAUUCCCUUGCCCCGACGCCACAUCCCUCGAGUGCCGCCGCAGGUCGCUCGAGUGCCGCCGCAGGUCACUCCGCCCGGCGACCAAAAAUCAGAUGUCAUCCUCCGCAAACUCACGCCAGAGAAGGGACAACCUGGAUGCGGUCACUGCGUCCUCGCUCCUCACGGCGGUCACUCCACCGAUCUGCUCGUCAUGGAAUACGCGACGUCAGUUUGGGAGCCGCCGCUGCCUUCUCAGGUCCACGCCAAGCAUGAUUCAAGACUAGCUGCUGCCGCCUCUCUCAAAUCCGGGGACUGGACUAGCGGCCUCCGCCUCUCUGAUGGCAAAACUGUUGUUGACGCCACUGAUGCCAAUCACCAAUCAUCUUGCUUUCCCCCACACGGAAGCAUUACUCUAUUCCGGCGUGGUGAGCAGGUGGAUGCGGUAUGUGUUUCUGGGAUAACUGUAAGGUACACGGCGGAGUUCUGCAUCCGCAACCCGCUGCUCGAACACGCUUCCAUCUGCUGGUUUAUGAGGAUCAUUUCCUAGAAGAUUGACACCCAAAUUUUUGGCCUUUGGUUGUCUGAACGUCUACCUUUUUUUGCUUGUGAAAAUAGUCCAGCUGAGUAGAAUUCAGGAGGUCAAUUUUCAAACCUGUGAACAAAUCGACAUCGCUGCUCAAGAGAUCCUUGAUUUGAAAAAUUGUUUCUUAUAUUGAUUGGUUCCCCAGAAAAAGACUGAAUCGUACUUGAAGAAAAGCUAAAGCGUCUUCAUGUACUUUAGCCCUUGUUCAAAGGGAGGCUCAGAACCUGAAGUAUUCAACACAGAAACAAGUUCUUAAUGAGCCUUUCUCCCUCGCUGGUAUUCUGUUGUGUCUCCUUGAAGCUUACUUUUGCCUUGCAUUGAAUGGAUUUUGCAUUGAAAAAAUAUUGGGGCAAAAGAAAAUGGCUUAACUUUGAAAGUGUUGCUUUCUACCAAAGUACGGAGCAUGAAAAGUAUAGGGCCUGUAUUAGGUGCUACAUAUAUGGAUAUUCAAACAUAUAAAAUUGAAUUAUUACCAUGCCAAGUAAUGUCUGAUGUGUUGUUCUGGAGUUGGAGUACCUUGCUGGAGGUGCAACGUAAUUCUACUUUGACAUAUCCACAUAUAGAUUAGAGGAGAACAAUAGCAAGAAAUGGGACUUUAUUGCCCACAACGUAAAAUUCACAAAGGAAAAGGAAAAAAAAUCUAUGUCUUGACUAAGAUACCAAGGAAACAAGUAAUGAGUUGUAUAUUGUUUACGGCAUAGUAGUUGUCAUCCACUGUACCAAUAUGACUUCUGGCCAUGUGGCAUGCUGAUCGUUUUGAAUAAUGCACAUUAGGUAUGUUUUUUUGUUGCACUUGUUCUAUGCUGUUGAUUAUAUCUUUUCCCAUACAUCUUAAGUUAUGUUUCAUUUCUGAAGCAUAUAGUUGCAGCAUCUUUUAACAACAGUGGUUUAUGAACUCAGCUAAGAGAUAUUUAUGUCUUUACUGAUGCAGAUUAGCUUUGAUCACUUGGUUGUAAAAUCAUGUUGCCAAAUGCUAAUAAUAUCAUAUCUUAACUUGGUAUUGUGCACUUAGCUAGAUACUUGGUUAUGUGCAAUUUAUUGCAACAUGAGACUUAAUUAUGAUAAGCUUUAGAUCCUUGUAGCUCCUUUGGAUCUGUCAAUUUAGUUUGUCUUGAAGCUGGACUACAAUGAAGUUUUAAUUGGCACAGACUUUUAUCAUUACAUGAGAAUAAUUUUUCAUUGUGAAUGGUUGAACAACAACCAGGCUUCCAGUACUUUUCUCUAUUUCAUUGGCCUACUCAUGUCUAUGUCUUUAUUUUGUUUAGCAUGUUGUAUGAGCUUAAUAAGUCCAUGAUACAUAUAUUGUGGAUUACAGAAUUUUGAUCCCGCCAGCCUUGUGCACAACUCUAUUAUCUGGUGAGUUUAUGGUCUCAGUAUGAUAUUUAUAUCGUUUGUUUUCUAAUUUUGUCACUCAAGUUCCUAUUUCUGAACAAGAAUUGAGUGGGUUCAAACUUCAAAAUUAGUGGCUAGAGGAGUGAAUUUUUCAUAUGUUCAUUAGCUUUUAAAGCUCUCUUACUGCACUUAAGUGAAAAGUUCGUGCAGGUUGAGGAACAAAAGUGAAUAGUUAUUCCCUUCAUGAUAUAUAGGGCAUAGGUAAUCAGUCAGUUCUUGUACUUUUGAAUACUGAAAGGGCAAAGGGAUAUCGUAUUGUAAUUAAGUAGUACAAACAUUAUGAGAGUUUUAUGCUCUAUAUUAUUUGGUGUUUAAAUGUUACAGAUGGUACCAAAUCCUUCUCGGUUAAGAUAUCUUUUUACAUGAUCUGAUAUAAUUUAUUCUAGACUUGACCCUACAAAAUUAAAAUUUGAAUUUCACAUUAGAUCUUAUUUUUCAGGACCACUUCAUAGAAGAUCCAUACCCAAAUUGUUGACUUUUGGUCUACACCUACCCUUUUUUGCUCGUGAAAAGGUAUGUAUAGGUGAACUCUUCAAUUUGGCAUGCAUCAACAUUUUCUGAAAAUAGCAUAAGUCUAUGAGGACAUCACGAUGUAUGGCAUGCCUCACAUCUUCGUGAGUCGUGAAGAUAGCCUACAACCCAAACUGGUAGGAUAGAAAGGGCGUGAUGCUUCGAAGCCGCGGGAGCAACCAGAUCCCGUGGCCCGAGUAUUCAGGUCCAAGAUAGGACGAUGAAAGAGAUGCUUAUCAAGAAACAUAUUUCAGGCGUUCUGAAGGCGGGCAUCUACGUGGUAGGGUUCUGGAAGAGGGGUCUUUCACAUGCUAAUUUCAUGUUGAUGUAGCUAGACCACGUUUGAGCAACUUUCUUCAUGAUCAUUGUAUUUCAAAAUGUAAUACUUGCCUGACAGAUUUGAGACAUGUAUAUAUAUGGGCAUUUGAAUUAAUAUUUGUCUAUCUAUUUUUAUA